rnacentral:rRNA from 1 species
ACGCUCGACACCUACGGGAAGCAGCAGUAGGGAAUCUUCCACAAUGGACGCAAGUCUGAUGGAGCAACGCCGCGUGAGUGAAGAAGGUUUUCGGAUCGUAAAGCUCUGUUGUUGGUGAAGAAGGAUAGAGGUAGUAACUGGCCUUUAUUUGACGGUAAUCAACCAGAAAGUCACGGCUAACUACGUGCCAACAGCCGCGGUAAUCUGAGCGGGCUGGCAAGGC